AUGAUCACCUUGUCCAGCAUGUGCCAUGCGGUUAUAGAAGAAAUAAGCGCCUUGGUCCUGGAGGUUGUAGAACCUCAGGUUCUUGCCAAGGGGCACAAUCAUGCAAGUGGAGAUAAGGUAAGUUUGCAGGAUGGGUGCAGCUGCUGCAGAGUAACAGAAAAUAAUAUUCAAGCCAGCUUCAGAAACACCCUUCAUCACUGUUUUGGUGAAGCCCUAUCCAUGGCACAAGGUAAGUCCUACAACUCGGAUAUAUUAGUAAAGCUGUUUUCAGCAGAAAUUACUAAAAAAGUCAACACGUCGCUGGCUCGUAUCACAGGGCCAGCUCCUACCCCAAAAACUCAUGACUCAGUGACAGGUAUGAGCAUUAUACAAAUGGUGUAUAAUGUGACUGAGAUUUUUGAAUGCAUCUUGAAUAUCAGCCGAAAAAUCACAGACAGGGCAUCUGACAGCAUGACAUGCUCAGACUCUAAUUGCAAGCAGAUUUGCUGUCUAGAUGUGGAGGAGGAGGAAGAUGCAGAAAUCCCACAAAUAAGUGACUGUUCCUUAGAGAAUUCACUGUGCAUGGAUAAUCUGAGUCCUCCUCCAACUCCAGAGCUCCCUAAGUAUUCAGAAACAUUUGUCCCUUCAGCAUUGAUUUUAGCCUACCAGGAGAAUUCUUCACCAAGUCUGGAGUCUCCUGACUGUCCAGUCAACAUGACCUUUCUUACUGUGCUUCUUGCUAAGUUAGUCGACCAUAUUGCAUCAAAAACCAGAAGAUCCAUACUAAACGUGGACCUGGUUGCAUUAUUGGGUGGUGUAACAAUGAGGGCUGAAAAAGAACUGGAUUCCAUUCCCCCACCAAGUGUUGAAAACCUGCACAUCCCCAUCUAUAAAAAGCUGUGCAAGGUGUUUGGAUCCAAAUACUUGUUGCAGGCUGCCAUGGAAUCUGGUGACGAAGCAUUUGAGAUUGCUGUUUCAGAGGUUUUAGUGUCACAGCUCCAGAAAUCUUUAGUAAGGUCAAAGAAUUCUGGGACCAUAUGGAGAGUUGUCAAGGAUGGUAAACUUUCUCCAGUGCGUGAGAUUCCAACACCAGAGUCCCCCACUGAAGAAAGUAAUGAACCAAAAAUACCCCUGCCUUCAAACACAUCACCGGCCAGUACUCUCAAGAAGAGUACUGGCUGGUUUUCUCGUCUGUUCAACACGCUCAAUAGAGCCCUGGACAGUGACAUUCACAGACUUGACUAUACAGUGACAAACCCACCCGUCUGGACAAACCCUGUUCUGUAA
rnacentral:lncRNA from 1 species